UAGGGAUUUGGGAAAUGCUCCCAUUCUUC
rnacentral:piRNA from 1 species